CAGAUACAAUGAUCAAGAAGGUUGUUUGCCCAGGGCGAGGCUCGGCCAUUGCACUCCGGUCGUGCUGACCCCUGCGAACGGCGAUGGGCCGAACUGGAG
ensembl:snRNA U1 U1 spliceosomal RNA